rnacentral:snoRNA from 1 species
AAGACUAUACUUUCAGGGAUCUUUUCUUUAGUUGUUGACUUGAGAAAUGUGUUUCUAAAGAGUUGGUCGCGCUGCCCACGAUGAAGAGUGAAGAUGUUUCCUUCAGAGCAGGAAUCUGGUGGAAAGACUCUGUUUCUUCUCCACUGUUGAUGAUUGUUCAGUGUUUCUGAAUGAGACACUGAUGGAGGAAACAUGUUCUGAGUGGU